rnacentral:tRNA from 1 species
AACCCCUGGGCGGGCAGCCAGAUCUGGUGGCGCUGUUCGUGGUCGUCACUGGCGUGUUUGGCAUGGCGGUCGGCGA